UUCUGGCUCUGCAGGGAGCCACAGGAUUUUUGCUAUCACACAGCAUUUAAAGGGGAGCCUCACUGCUACCUGUGCUAUUCUGAAGUUGUAACAAGAACGAGCUGAAUUACUUUAAAAAAUAAAUACUUUUAAUAUGAAAUGGAGCUUCAUUUACAUGCGGCUAAUGUUAAUAUGAAAAGCUUGCUAUAGUAAAUAUGUAGUCUGAUAGGAGCUGCUGGAAUCAAAGCCAAAUUAUUAUCAAUUUGGCUAUUCUGAGCAGCUGCCUACUUUAUCUUUGAAAUAAAUUAAUAAAUGCCUGGAUUUUUUUUUUUUUUUUUUAGAAAAAAAUUGAAUUAGGCUACUAUGAAAGCACAAAAGUAUUCUCUCUAUUUCUGUCUGAGGAUGUUGUGAAUAUUUGCACUGCUCUUUUUUGACACUAUGGGUAAUAGCAGAAGCAGCGUGGAUUAAGCCUUUCUCGGAGAGCAUGGCAUAGGCUGUAAUAGAAGUCUCUCAAAAGAAAAAAAAAUCAUUGCUUUGAAAAACCUCAAAAGAUACAUUAAAAAAAAGAAGCUUCAUGCUUAUGGGCAUGGUAGCCCUUGAUAAAAGGCUACACAGUCCUAGCUCUCAAAACACUCUUGAAAUUAAAUUAAAUCCAUUGAAAUUCUUUAGUAAAGGCCUAAGAAGUAAUAGCUUUUAUUCUGUCAGGGUGCCCUACUGGGUCUUUCCUUUCCAAGCCACCUGAGAUCCUCCUCUUAAUAGCAGAGCUGAUUGUAGAUAUGUGUCCCAGAAUCCACAACAUUACAGCAGUUCAUCUGUCCAUUUCACUUCUCCCCCUUUUUGAGGUAGGGGUGAACACUAUGCAAAGUACUGAGAGUCUCAGAAAUUACUCUUUUUCUGCCUCUUUCUGGCCACUUGACUCCUCUUCACCUUCAGAACAAAAGCAGCUCUGCUUUUAUGAAAUAAGCUGUGACAGUAUGAGCAGCCGUUCCUGUAUUUUGCCCAUGCCAGCAGCUCCCUCUGUGCUGCUGCCCACGGCCUCAUGCUGAGUCUGACCUUCAGGCAGGAUUCUGCCCCCAGCUGCAGGUGUAGCACUGCCAGCCCUUUUGCUGGCUCCGACAGCCGUGUUUUUAAUGAAUCCCACAUGGGAAGGAGGGACAGAUGUGGUGAUGAAAAGACAAGGCUUUCUCCUUGUGAGGUGCAGGGGCAGGCACUUACCUGCAUAUGUCAAAUAAAUGUGCUACAGUGUCAAGUGUGGAUGGUGUGCAAACUGAAUGUAAUAGGAACAGGUUGGUGUAUUUUUCAUAAUGUGCAUAUUAUGUCCCAUAUACUCCAGGGAAAAAACCCCAACAGGACCCUGGGGACUGCUCUGAAGCAUUACAGUUCUGCAGUAUGUGAAACACCUGUUAUUAUAAGUAUUGAUGAUACUGAAGAUAUAACAAGGCUCCUGCAGCAUAGAAACCUGUGUCAAUAGUAAGAAAGUUAUGGCACUGGUGGCAGCCAGAUUGGUGAAGAGGAGCUUGGUACCUCUGAUGUAUAGAAUGAAAGCUGAGAUGUCAGGUUGUCCCCAAAGGAUCAAUCCUAUCAUCCAAACAAUCUAAAGGUAAGAAGGCAUGGACUCACCUCAAGUGUUUCAGUAUGUUAAAUUGAGGGCCAGGAUAUCAAUACUUCUGUUUUCAGCUCCCGAAGUAUUCCUUGCUUUAGGGACCCACAGUGGGCUGCAUCAAAAUGCCUUAGCUGAUCUCCAGAAAGUCCAUCUGCAAAGAGACAACAUAAAUGAAAUUGUGGCUUCACUGAUGUAGCUGUAAUUUCCCUUAGCUGGAAAAGGUUAUAUUAAGUUCCUCAGUUAUGAAUUUUGCAGCUCUGCACAGUUUCUUCGCCUUGGUAAUUAUUAUACAGGAACCAGAAAGUGAAACCAGUUUGGAAAGCUGAGAGCAGCAUCGAUUUAUGGGCAAAGCUGAGGCAAGUGCAAGAAGCAACAGUCAGAAAUUUUUAUUUAUUUUCAGUUAUAGCUUUAUUUGGUCUAAUAGUCCUAAUCUGGCAGUCCUGAAAAACACUGCUGAUGAUCUUUCAUGACAGUAAAGGUAUUAAAUACAUAUGAUGUUGCAGUUAAACAAAACUUGCUUCAACUACAUACAUUUUUUACAAAUAUAGCAUAAAAAGUAUUGUCAGUAGUUUAAGUGGGUAUUUGCUGGGAUUCAAGAGAAAUAAUCAAUUUGAUAAGAUUUUGGGGUUUUGUUUUUCCUUUUGAACUCUUACGUGUUCAAUAAAUGGUUGUAGGUGGUUUGGAUGAUUGGUAGAUAAUUUAUAAAACUGGUUUCACAUAAUUUAACUAUUGUAGGUCAUGAAAACCAAACUAUUUUGCCCCUUAAUUAAUCUGAAUGUUAAUGAAAGCAUAGAACUAUUUAAAAUGGAUAAACAAGAAUUGAUGCAUGAUCUUCAGAGAGAUCCCAUAGUUAUAUGGUUAUACAAAGAAUGUGUACAUUUUCAGCUGUUCAACUUUCUAAUAUGAGCUAGGACAUGUAUAAAACCCAGGCCUUCUCAAAAUUACUUCUACUUCCUGUUACCUCUUGGAGUUGAGAAGAGGCCAUUGUGGAAGCAGCAAAGAAAAGCUCUUCCCACCUUGUUUUUGAACUUCUCUUUUCUCACCCUGCUUCUGUUCCUCAUGCAAAAGUAUGCAUGGAGCUUGUUUUCCUCAGGACUGGUAUUUUGGUGCCCAAAAAUGGUAGCAGUAUGUGAAAGGAAUUUCCAGCUAGAAUAGAGUGUAUGUAAGUCUAACCUUACAGAUUCAUGAAUGAACAAGGUGAACUGUCUGUGAAAAGUAGUGAGACAGUUCAGGAUUUUUUUCAGGCUGAUGUAGGAAAUUUGGAGAAAGGAAGGUUCUGAGUGCAAGGAAUAUAGCACCAAGGAUUAUUUUGAUCAGGGACAGUGGAGGGCAGGCAGGUCAUGUUUUGUUUGCUAUCAUCUGUCUUUAAUUUGUUCCUGUUUGUAGUAGAAGAAGGAAAGGAAAAUGAACAGGUUAUUUGCUUUUCUUAGACAAAUUUAUUUGUGAAUCUGUAUUUUUCCAUCGUCUCCUCCACCUAAAAGGACAGUUGGCUGAUGGAGUGGGUAAAGUCUCAGAAAAUUCACCCCUUCAGAAUGUGUCUCUAUUGAUCAGUGUGGAUGGAGCAACUUUCUGAACCUCAGUAAACUGAAAAUUAAGCUGGAAUAUGAAAAUAAAAUGAGGUUCAGAUAGCUAGCAUAGCUUUGUUAAGGAAAAGCCUUAAUUUUUGUUUACCAGGUGGUAGGCCUGACAGACUGUCUUUGUUCUAGGAACCAGCACUUUAUUUAUAGCUUGCAUCAAAAUCAAUUUAAAAUAAAGCCUCUGUAUUUUAACACAAAAUCUCAUAAACUCUAAAGAGGAUCUUCUUAUGAGAAGAAGGCAAAAAACUGACAGAAACUCUUGCUAAAUAAUUGUUGCAUGAAGUUUCAUCUUCUGUGAUAUUUCCUAAUGUACUAAGUGUAGGAAGUAACACUUGCUGUAAGGCAGAAAGAGGAUGUGCAAAUAUUUUAUGCUGAACUGGGGAGUAAAAGCACAUUACCAAAUUAGUAUAUCGGCCUGAGCUUGGUAUGGGAAAAAUGAGCUAUUUUUGCUAAUAAUUUAUAUUGCUAGCAUUUUAUCACUUUUUAGAAUUAAACCUAAGAAGCAAUAGUGAUACUAUGUUUUUUGCCUUUUUUUUUUUUUUUUUGACAGAGACUAGAUUUUUGGCAGUGUGCACAUGAGCACAUAUUAUAAAAGUUGUGAAAUUGUGGUGUUUCUUUGGGUCCUGUUUUAUGAGAAACAUGGAAAGCUUUUUUUUUUUUUUUUUUUUUUCCUUGUUUUGCUUCUCUUGUGAUUCAGUGGUUUACACUCUGAGAUUUCCAGGUGUUUGGGGAAUACCACAACAUGGGAUUACCAGCUUCCCCUCCUCCCCUUCCACCAUCCUUUCUGGGUUAUUUUUGGCUCUUCCAUUGCACUGUAUGCACAGAUUGUAUGUAUUUAUAAGGCCUCAGCAAUAUGUUUCUUGAGCUUUGUGACCCAGUUAAAAUAGCCAAUUUGUGCUAAAUGUCUUUGAGUGCUUAUUAUAAAAUGUCCUAUAGUGAAACAGAAAUUAGCUAUAAAACCCAAAUACCAAAAAAAAAAAUCUAUUUGUUUCAGUUUUUGACUUCCCAAUGCUGUCUUUUCUCUUACCUGUUGUAAAUCACUCAAAUAUUUGCUUGACUCUGCCAAAAUUUGUCUUGCACGAGUCUGCUGUUUACAUGAUUAUUACUUUAAAAGCAUAUAUCCAAUAUUUUUGCACCUCUGUUAGCUGACUCUAAUUAUGCACAUUAACAAGAAGUGGUAAAUAUUUUCAAUUACAUGAAUGACUUUUGCAUUACUAUUUUUCUUUAAAGUUUAGAAUUUACUGCCUUUGCUAAAUACUGUGUUGUUUUUUUUUAGUGUGAGAAUAAACUAAGACAUCCAGUGCAUCCUUAGACAGACUUAUUUUUUUUUUUAACAGAGUAUCAGCACUAUGAACUUGUCACAUUUUAAGAUAGCUUGUAGUGUGUGUGAAAAAAAAAACCUGAAUGACUUAGAGGCAUGGAAACUGAGGGAGGGAGAUACAGACCCUGAUGUACAAGGUGCUACUAUUGCUUUACUCAUGUUCCAUCAGGACUUCUGCAAACAUGGCCCAACUGUGACUUUAUGGUGCAGG